rnacentral:rRNA from 1 species
CCUACGUGAGGCUGCAGUGGGGAAUAUUGCACAAUGGGGGAAACCCUGAUGCAGCGAUGCCGCGUGGAGGAAGAAGGUUUUCGGAUUGUAAACUCCUUUUAUCAGGGACGAUAAUUACGGUACCUGCAGACAACGCUCCGGCUAACUACGUGCCAGCAGCCGCGGUCAUACGUAGGGAGCGAGCGUUUUCCGGAAUUACUGGGUGUAAAGGGAGCGGCGGCGGGACGGCAAGUCAGGUGUGAAAACUGAGGGCUCAACUUUCAGACUGCAUUUGAAACUGCUGUGCUUGAGUGAAGUAGAGGUAAGCGGAAUUACUAGUGUAGCGGUGAAAUGCGUAGAUAUUAGGAGGAACAUCGGUGGCGAAGGCGGCUUACUGGGCUGUGACUGACGCUGAGGCUCGAAAGCGUGGGGAGCAAACAGGAUUAGAUACCCGUGUAGUC